CAAGAAUCUACAGGUCGAGCAAGUCUCGUAAAUUUCACGAUUGCGAGCCACGCUUCACGCAACCGUGUUUGCGUACUUGUGUUUCGAGUUGCGUGGUCUUGCGGAGUUACAUUUACCAAAUUUAAAUCCGUUCCAACAUGCUGUCAAAAUUAAAUCAAUAUGUCAAUAUGGCUACUGGGUGUAAAAGAUAAAUCUUAUUCUAUCUGUUCUUAAUGAGUUUUUGAUAAUUUUAGUUGUAUUUCUUUGUAAUUUUGUGUUGUACAAAGAUUAAUUUAACAUUUUCUCUGGAAGUAUUAAUUUAGAAAGAUAAUUAUGCUUCAUUGGUGUUGUGUUUUGAAGUGUGAAAUGCAAAGUAAUUGUGAUAAAGUUCACUUUUAAACUGAACUAAAUAAGGUAUCUGAGAGACAACAAUGGUUAAAUGCAAUACAAUGUACAGGUUUUACUAGCGAAAUGAAAAUUUUCCUGUCCUGUCUGCUGUAAUCAUUUUAUAUCUGGAAAACCAGCCGACUUAAUCGAUAAUAACAAUCUCCAGAUUGGGUUCCUUCAAUAAAUAUGGGCUAUAAACACAAUGAAAUAAGUUCCCCAAAAUCUAAAAUGGAGUGGUAUCAAAGGAGAAUUAAAGGAAAAAAUAUUCAUAUUGAAAUUAUUUAUAAGGCACUGGACUGUCUUAAAUUCUACAAUAAUACUAGAAUCAGCUGAGAGAAGUGGUCUACAAAAAACCAGGAAGGAAACGGAAUAUGUGGCUACGAAAGGCAAAAGAAAGGUUUACAAAGCAAAUGUGACACAUUUUUUUGAAAUAUUUAGGAAUAUCAGUAAAUUGCAUUAAAAAAAUGUAUGAAAA